rnacentral:rRNA from 1 species
CUGACUGCUAUCGGAUUGGUACCAAGCCAUGUGAGUCGUUGUAGCAAUACAAGGCAUACGGCUCAGUAACACGUAGUCAAUCUAACCUAUGGACGGGGAUAACCUCGGGAAACUGAGGAUAAACCCCGAUAGAUCAUUAUGCCUGGAACGGUUUAUGGUCCAAAUGAUUCGUCGCCGUAGGGUGGGACUGCGGCCUAUCAGCUUGUUGGUGAGGUAAUGGCCCACCAAGGCUAUUACAGGUACGGGCUCUGAGAGGAGAAGCCCGGAGAUGGGUACUGAGACACGGACCCAGGCCCUAUGGGGCGCAGCAGGCGAGAAACCUUUGCAAUGUGCGCAAGCACGACAAGGUUAAUCCGAGUGUUUCCUGCUUAAGGAAUCUUUUGUUAGUUGUAAAACCACUGAUGAAUAAGGGGUGGGCAAGUUCUGGUGUCAGCCGCCGCGGUAAAACCAGCACCUCAGGUGGUCAGGGAUGAUUAUUGGGCCUAAAGCAUCCGUAGCCUGUUCUGUAAGUUUCCGGUUAAAUCCAUUAGCUCAACUAAUGGGCUGCCGAAAAUACUGCAAAACUAGGGAAGUGGGAGAAGUAGGACGGUACUCGGUAGGAAGGGGUAAAAUCCUUUGAUCUAUUG